CUGGCGACGAGUGGCGGACGGGUGAGUAAUACUUAGGAAUCUGCCCAGUAGUGGGGGACAACUCGGGGAAACUCGAGCUAAUACCGCAUACGCCCUAAGGGGGAAAGCGGGGGAUUUUCGGACCUCGCGCUAUUGGAUGAGCCUAAGUCGGAUUAGCUUGUAGGUAGGGUAACGGCCUACCUAGGCGACGAUCCGUAGCUGGUCUGAGAGGACGAUCAGCCACACUGGGACUGAGACACGGCCCAG
rnacentral:rRNA from 1 species